GGGGGUGUGCCCGAGUGGCUAAAGGGGACGGGCUGUAAACCCGUUGACUAUGUCUUCGAUGGUUCGAAUCCAUCCGCCCCCACCA
rnacentral:tRNA from 1 species